UUAUCACAAAUCAGAGUGUCGGCGUCUGCAGGAGCUUACAGGGCAAGAGUUCACCGCUCGGUCGCUAACUCGGGAGUUUCUCUCAGUUUGAUGAUAGCUGACGAAGUUUAUCCGAAAAAAACAAAUACACGAGAGAUCUACGAGGAAAAACUUCAGCCUCACUCAUGGAUAUAAGUUAAGCCCGUGAAAUAGCCUGCACUGGAUGCGUUCAGCCCAGGGUGAAAAGCACAUUUUACUGGCUUUAAGGACGGACAGCAACGCCGAUGCCCAUUUAAAACGGGGGAAGUUUUCUGGGGGUCUUUGAGAGAGAGAGACAGAGAGAGAAAGAGAGAGAGAGAGGCCAGAGACAUGAUGUCCAUUGGAGCUGAUAGCUGACACUGUAGAAUGAGAGAGGAUGGAACAGAUUGACAACCCUGCCCUUGUGAUCAACAACCCUAAUGGGUUUGUCAACCGAGUGUUUAAUGUUUCUCUGGAUGUGGAAAAUGAGACCAGCAGUGUUUAUAUUCAGGAGGCUGGACCAGGGUCUGCAGAGGGGGAAGGAGAGACCCAGGCUGCCUCUUCUCAGACCCCUGUCAAAGACAGACAGGAGGUCAUCCGGAGGCCCCGUGCCACAGGGGGUAUCUGGAAGAUCUUGAACCGAAAGAGAGCUGUCUCAGAGUUGGAGCGCAGACCCCACUCCAUGAUCCUGCCCGGGGAGGCUUCCAUCCCUAAACUCUCGUUUGCGGACAAAGUUCGCUCCUUCAAAAAGCUUAAGACCCCCUCUGUGUUUAGAGGUAAGACAGGUAAAUUGUCUACUGCCAAGUUUAGCAGCUCCUUGGUGGAUGAGGAAUCCUUCUGCCGGGACUUUGGCACUCCUCAGCAGUCCAGCAAGAGCACACUCAGACAACGUGGGAAGAGACAUUCCUACGCUGGCUACACAGGAGACUUUGACUGCUCGUUCGAAGACAUUGACCUCACAGCUCCUAUAGACGGCCACCAGCCCAGUGUAACGGAGGAGCCUGUGGCUCAGAAUGGUUGUAAACCAUCAGAAAGAGUUUGCUAUACUAAAAGAAGCCACAUCAACUCAACCAACUGUAACAAAACAGCUGCAGGCUGUGAAGAGCCUAGCAUCAAAGAUAGCCCGAUCCCCCACCAGGCUAGGGGAAGGAAGCACAAAGAUGUGUGGAGUUACUUGAGGAGGAUUUCCCUUUUGGGGAAGGCCCACCCUGUCUACUCAGAGAGGAGCUUUGACUCAGAGCUUCCCUCUUGGGACAAGACCAUGGACUCAGACUAUGGUUCUGUAGAUUUUGAGAGUGUCAGAGACUUUCAACCACCGCCCCCGAAACACUCUGACCCAAAGGGGCACUUUGGUGGUCUGUUCAAGUUUUUCAACAGUGUAGCAGAAACAGCCAGGAAAUGGCGGACAACAUCGCACUCCUUCUCUCCUCCAGAGGGAGAGAGGACACCGAUGAGCUCCCCACGGGUGCCCAAGUCCACAAUGGACAACAUUCACAGUGUGUCCCUGACACUUCACAGUGAAGAACACCAGCAAUCCCAGCCUAUUCCAUCAUCACCAGUAAUCGCUAAAUCCUCACACUCCAGUAGCUUUGACAGCGAAGCUCCAGCCCCUGUGACUGGUGGACGGUCCCCACAGGUGGUCCUGAAAGCCUUUAGGGCUUGUCCAGGAUCUCCUCCUGUCAAUGGCCUUCAGAGUUAUGAGGGCACAGACAAACAUGUAGACAGAGAGACAAACCACAGGUCCACAGCCAUAGUGGAGAAUCACAUCUCCCAGUCAGGGCCAACCACGGGGACUAUACAUGAAACAGAGUUUGAAAGGGAUCCAUUAAACUGUCUUUGUCAAGAGGAAAAGGUAGAGGGACAGACAGGAAAUGAGCAGGAUUCCAGGGAUGCUCCACCUGACUCCCACCACAGACAGGAAGUCCAAUCACAACAAGGUGAUAAAGAGAGCACAACCAAUAGCGUGCCAGCAUCAGAUUCCACAGAGGAAAUAUUUAAGCUGUGUGAGCAGAUUGCCAGCCAGACAAGCUGCGGUGUAAGACAGCUGUGCCCAGCCAUGCCCCACUCAAGCACAGAGAAGACCUCUGUACCUCACAAGCCCCUGCGCCGCCCUCGUCCUCGCCCGGCCUCAGCUGUAUUGGACCUACGGAGGCCCAGCCUAGACCGAGAUCUCUACGACCAUUUUAGUGAGGUUGGCUCACUAUGCCGGCGGAGACGCAGGCCUGCGCCCACCAUGCAACACUUUCCAGGGCAAGGACGGAUGGCUGCUCGCUCCAGGCCUUGCUCUGUUAUAGAGACCAGUGUUACUAGGGAGAUGCAGUCCACGGCGCUGCACCACAGAGCCUUGUCUCGCCCCCCGGGCGUGUCACCGUUAGAGCCCCCACUAAGGGCAUCUCUACAGCGGUGUCGCUCCCUGCCGCUCCCCCCCAGCACUCUCACUGCCUUGGCGCUGCUCCUGCCUCAGUCAGUCAUGGGUCAGUCGUCAUCGUCGGUGCGUCUGCGGUCUGGAGGCUCCGGUAGCUGCAGGAGGAGACUGUUAAGACCUGGUUCUGAACCGCUGCAGGUCAACAUUUUGAUAAGUGGAGGUUCAAUCGUCAACGCUGAGGCGGUAUGGGACCAUGUGACCAUGGCGGACCGGGAGUUGGCGUUUAAGGCCGGCGACGUCAUCAAGGUGCUGGACGCCUCCAACAAGGACUGGUGGUGGGGCCAGAUUGAUGAGGAGGAAGGAUGGUUUCCUGCCAGCUUUGUACGGGUGGAGCCCCACCCUCCUCAGCCCCAAACAAAACAGGUUUUCUAUAUCAACCCCAUAGCAACUCCACGGUUCCAAAACACCACGUCAAAGCUGUGGGUGAACCAGGAGGAUGGGGGAGCGGAGCCAGCCGAGGGGACCAGCGAGGUGCAGAACGGGCACCUGGACCCAACCAAUGACUGCCUGUGCCUGGGCUCGCCCCUCCAGAACCGAGACCAGAUGAGAGCCAACGUCAUCAAUGAGAUCAUGAGCACAGAGAGACACUACAUCAAACACCUCAAGGACAUCUGUGAGGGCUACCUGCGUCAGUGCAGGAAGCGUGUGGACAUGUUCAACGAUGACCAGCUGAAAGUCAUCUUUGGGAACAUCGAAGACAUCUACCGCUUCCAAAUGGGCUUUGUCAGAGACUUGGAGAAACAGUACAACACAGAGGACCCCCAUCUCUCUGAAAUCGGACCCUGCUUUCUAGAACAUCAAGAUGGUUUUUGGAUCUAUUCAGAAUACUGUAACAACCAUUUGGAUGCCUGUAUGGAGCUGAGCAAACUGAUGAGGGAUGGCAGGUACCAGCACUUCUUCGAGGCCUGUCGCCUCCUCCAGCAAAUGAUUGACAUUGCCAUAGACGGCUUCCUGCUCACCCCUGUCCAGAAAAUCUGCAAAUAUCCUCUUCAGUUGGCUGAGCUUCUCAAAUACACUGCGCAGGAGCACAGUGAUUAUCGAUACGUGGCAGCAGCACUGGCAGUAAUGAGGAACGUCACUCAGCAGAUCAACGAGAGGAAGAGGAGACUGGAGAACAUCGACAAAAUCGCCCAAUGGCAAGCUUCUGUUCUGGACUGGGAGGGGGACGAUAUCUUGGACAGGAGCUCAGAGCUCAUCUACACUGGGGAGUUGUCAUGGAUCUAUCAGCCGUAUGGACGUAGCCAACAGCGAGUCUUCUUCCUCUUUGAUCACCAGCUGGUUCUCUGUAAGAAGGAUCUGAUACGCCGGGACAUCCUGUACUAUAAGGGUCGCAUCGACAUGGAUCGCUACGACGUGCGGGACGCCAUAGACGGCCGUGACGACGACUUCAACGUCAGCGUGAAGAACGCCUUCAAACUGUGCAACAAAGACAGCGAGGAGCUCCACAUCUUUCUGGCCAAGAAGCCAGAGGAGAAGAUCCGCUGGCUCAGGGCCUUCCACGAGGAGAGGAAGAUGGUGCAGGAGGAUGAGAAAAUCGGUUUUGAGAUCUCUGAGUACCAGAAGCGGCAGGCGGCCAUGACAGUGAGAAAGGUGACCAAACAGAAAGGUGAGGCAACAAGAAGAUAUCAGAUUCAUUUAUAGAUUUCAUCUUGAGAAAGAGGGCCAUGUUGUAUGGACAUGGUUUGAGAAUGAUAAAGGUGUAAACAGGUGCACGCCCCCCUCAUACCCGCCCCCCCAGGACCCCCUCAGUGCGGGGCAGUAUGAGGUAACGGAGGACAUGGCACAAGGAGAGGUUUUUGAAUUCAGUCAAUCCAAAAGAGGCCAGGCUCCUUUCUGGCAGAAUUUUAGUAGAUUAGCUCCAUUUAAGAAAUAGAGAUACACAGACUCUUCUGAAGGACCAGCUAUUUUUCUUAGAAGCACUAAACACUGGAGGAUCAUGUCCCAUGAUGACAAAAAAUACGAAAAACAAACACACACACACAAGACUUUUCAAAAUGAUGGACCAUUGUUAAUAUAGAGGUUGAUCGGAAGCAGCAAGAGGACUGAAGACUUGGAUUUAAAACAUUGAGGAAAAAUUACAACUUUAUAAUUCAUAUAUGUCAGUAACGUUCUUAGUUAUCACGCUUCUCCAGCCGAGUCAGCGGUCAUGAACUCUUUCCCUCGGAUUCUGCAUCUUCACGCCAUCUGAAUGUCCUGCAGUUCUUUAGAGUGUUAAGUUAUUUCAUUUUGAAUCCAUCAUCUGGAGAGAAACACAUGGCUAAACCAGAGCAUACCUACUCGUAUGAUUGUGUGCAACAAAGCUGAGAUCCUGCUGUGCUGCUCUGUCAGAUGCUUGUUGCAUUCUCCUGAAUGUGAGAUUGAAUAAUGACAGGCCUCAGCUACUGGCGGGGGCGUCUGAGGGGCCCGUGAGUCUCCGAGUUCCAUCCAUCCGGAUCCAUCCGGGCCAACUCUAGCGCUACUGAUGUCUGGAUCUCCUCCUCACUCUCAACGCUCCGUGUUGCUCUCGCUAGCUGUUUGCAUUACAGUAGCCCUCGCUUCUUCACCGAGUCUGACGCUCACAGUGUUUCCCUCAGCCGCCGCAUCCCUCUCUCGUCCUCUAUCUCUCUACCCACCUGCUCAGCCUCGGUGAGUCAGUGGCUCUCAGAGGAAGAGCUUCAUUCUUUUGGAAAGCUGCCAUUGGCCAUGCUAUGACGGGUCAGGGAACAAAUCAAUAGUUGGAACAUCAAUAGAAUAUUUACAUCCUUUCACCAAACACUUCUGACAGGGUAUUCAUAACCGAUCACACCGAGGGGCUGUGGGACUUACGUUUGGCGAGAGAGAGCUUGCCGCUCAGAUGAAACAGCUGGGAGCAGGAGAUAGGCAGGCUACGGUCCACCUGCCUUGUGUCAGAGCCCCUCCCCCACUCUCCCCAGAGACCACCCCUGUAGCACUGUGCUGGCAGCUCACUGGGCGUUUUGGAAAGAGAACAGCCUACCUCCAAGGAAAUCCACUGAGAGUUAAAAGUGGAGUUGAAGCGUUCUAAAAUAAGAUCUUUUUUUCACGUCUGCUGUCAGAAGAAAGACUGCUUCAGUUAGCUUAAGUAUUUUGUAAUGCUCACAUUGUGUAAAAAAAAAAAAAAAAAAGAAAAGGAAAAAAGCACAGCACAUAAUUCUGUCUAAGCAGUACUUUCAGUUAGCUAGGAGUGACGCAAACAUUGCCACAGUGUGAGAAAUUAGAACCAGCAGAAGGAGAAAUGGUCGCAAAACAAAUGAGAAAUUAGGAACAGACAGGACAACCAUAGCAGUCGGUUGUGUGUCUGCAAGAACGUACGCUGCAGAAGUGUGAGCUGAUACCACAGAGAGGAACAGAGGUGAAUUUAAUCUGUAGCACGCAGGUGUCCUGUGACAGAUUGAUGCUUCAGAUCAGUGCGCUCCUCUCCGCUGUGUUUCCAGAUCUGAUCCAUGUUCUGGCAGUUAGCUCGGCACUGCCAGCGGAUUUCCAGAGAGCUGUUGCCUGAUCAGAUUGAUAUGUUUAAUCAACAAUACCCCGAAGCUGCUGUGGGCGUUUCUGCCACAUGAUACUACAACAGAGGUGUUAGAAAAGUUAAGAAAACUACCGAUUUACACACAUUCUGAAGGGAUAUUCUUUUCUACAGUUGGAAUGUAAGUGACACAUGAGUCCUACAUGGUCCUUUUCUGUAUGCUUUGUGACCUCAGAUACAGAAGUACAUUUUGUGUUGAAUUAUACCACCUGAUGGACAGUACAUAUACAGUAUGACAACUUGUGCAAUGUGAUAUAUCAUUAUAUAUCUUCACCAAUCACUACGACGUGAUAUGAAAGAUUUAUAUAUCGUUCUGUCAUUUGUUUGCCUUCUUAUAGGCCUUAUAACCUAUUGGGGAGAGAAAAAAAGUCCUUAGAGUUGCUUUGUAUGUUGUGUAAUUUAUGUUUCAGUAAAGAAAGUUGAGAAACGGGUGAGUUGGCUGCUGGUGUCUGUAGAGAUGGCUCCCAGUGAGAUUGAUUUGGAAGAUAAUUCCCUGGUCUGGCACUGCAAAAAGAUAUGGUUCCCAGGCCAUGAUAACCUCAGGUCCCGUGCUGCGCCCCCCCCCAUUCCUCUACUCUACGCCACCACCGAUAUACAGACAUAAGCAUGCAGGCAAACACACACACACACACAAUCAUGCGCACUUGCUGGCCCGUUCUGCUGCAGAGAAGAGAGAUGCUAUCUAACAGUGCCUUCCAGCAUUCCACUAGUGAUUAUCUAUUCAGUUUCACAGGCAGAUUUGAAUUAGUCAUGUAUUUUCCCUUCAGUGUGGGACUUGCAUCUCUCUCUCUCUCUCUCUCUCUCUCUCUCUUUCUGUCUCUCUCUCUCUCUCUCGUUCUCUCAAACACACUGGGAAUUCCUCGUUCCCCAGUGCAUGGGAUCCACUUGGACAGAAACUCAGAGGCCAGGCCUUUUCCAUGAGUAGAUACUGUGCCGUCUGACUGAAACACACUUUAUUAUACUAUAUCACACGUACAUAGUCGUAGUUUUAUUGCACAAAAAGAAGUCUAUUCUAAUUUCAGACGUUUUAGAAACCGCAUAGAGUUCCUUUAUUGUUAUCUAUUUAACACGCUGAAGGUGGUUUCCUUUGGAUUUAUAGUAGGAAACAGAUUUCCAUUAGUCAAGUUAUAGGUCUCUCUUUUCAAAGUAUAUUAUUAACAGUGAGUUAUGAAUCAAAAGAAGAAUCGUCUAUUUUAUCUUUAUCAGCUACACUGUAAAUAAUGUAAAAAGAACAGAUCAUAUAUUUGGAUAUUGGUAUUUUGCGUUGGAGACGAAUGUUGUUCCGUUGUAGCGUGCGGUAGACCUCGGUACCGGGUACAUGCAUGCUCGUGGCAUCCAAUAUUGUGCAUGAGACUUUAGACAACUCUUAGCAUAUUGUUUAGUUUGGUUUAACUUCCAAUGGGAUUUCUUCACAGCGCGGAACCAUUCAUUUGUGAACCCAUGCCAUCUCACUGCCGGGAGUUCUUUUCUCCGUCCACCUGUCUCCUGCUCACGACAUAUGACACGCUGUAGCUUCUGUUUUUAUUUAUUAAGUAGAGGGAACAUCUUCCAUCAUGCCGAGUCGAAGACUGAACUGUUGACGGGUGAAAUGAAAGGCACUAAUGCCCAGAUAUAUCGGGUUACUAUAAACUAUAACCUUGCUCUAAAUCUUUACUACUUUCUUUUCUUUUGACUCCAACCUGCACUGUCAUGAUCCAAACUGCUGUUAUUAUUUUUGGAAUGGGACCGCUGAGGCAAAACGGGUAUCAUUUUCUAGAACUACAGAGAACCAAAUAGGAGUUAACACUGAUCAUGGGUGUUUGUGUAUACAUUUGUAGUCAAGCAGAAGAGCUGAAUAAAUGCGAAACCUCUCGGGAUGAGCUAAAAAUAAACAUUAUCCUGAAGAUGCGCACACACACCCACACACACACACCCACACACACACACACACACACACACACACACAGUGCUUUGUUGCAAUUCAUUUUGUGCUCUUGUUUCUGAUUAAGACAUGAUUCUUUGAAGUACAAUGACAUGACAGUACACAUUAAUUCCUCACUUGUAUUUAUUGAAUGAAGUAUUAAAUAGUACCAUUUUGGCCACCUUGUUAAAAAGGAUGUAUAUAUUGGUUUUAUUUUUCGGAUAUAAGUAUAAUUCUGCCCUUGUGCUGAGAGCUGAGAGGACAACUUUUUUCUCUCUGUUUCCGAUCAUAAAACCAAGACAGCCAGUUUAGCAGACUGUCAACGGGAUGCAUCCCAGUCGUGUAAUUCCUUUUAGUCCCGGCGUCCGUGAGUCGCUAACCGCGCUCGCUCACAUUUAGCAUAGCGACAUCUUCAGUAGGAACUCCUUGCAGUUGGUUAUGCAGUCCUGUGUUGUUUCAAAAAUAGUCAGGGUACAACAGAGUCUUCAUUGAGCCAUAUACUGAUGUGGUUUCCUAUGACAACAAGGGUAACAGAAGACUGACAUCCCACUUUUGGAAUCUGUCCAUUGUAUUAUAACAUCUAGUUUGAGGUCUGGAUUUUUGCCUAUCACAGAAAAAUUAACUCACAUUAUCCAUAUCUUUUGUAACCAUAUGCAAACAUUUGUCAUUUUCUUUCUCGCUGGCCUUUGAGUUUGAUUAUCUGUUGUAGAAAUGGAAAACCUGAAAAAUAAUGCCUAUUCAAUCCAGAAACUGUGAAUGGGAGAGUGGAGAUGUCAGCUGUAUGUACAUUAUAUGUUUUGAUGUAAUCAGAAGCACUGGGAAUAUGUUGUACUUCGCUGUAAAAAUAAAUCCAUAUCUGAUA